GCACAACGCGAAGAACCUUACCCACCUUUGGCAUGUACGGAAUCCUUUAGAGAUAGAGGAGUGCUCGAAAGAGAGCCCGUAACACAGGUGCUGCAUGGCUGUCGUCAGCUCGUGUCGUGAGAUGUUGGGUUAAGUCCCGCAACGAGCGCAACCCUGCCAUUAGUUGCUACAUUUAGUUGAGCACUCUAAUGGGACUGCCGGUGACAAACCGGAGGAAGGUGGGGAUGACGUCAAGUCCUCAUGGCCCUUGUAGGUGGGGCUACACACGUCAUACAAUGGCUGGUACAAAGGGUUGCCAACCCGCGAGGGGGAGCUAAUCCCAUAAAGCCAGUCGUAGUCCGGAUCGCAGUCUGCAACUCGACUGCGUGAAGUCGGAAUCGCUAGUAAUCGUGGAUCAGAAUGUCACGGUGAAUACGUUCCCGGGUCUUGUACACAC
rnacentral:rRNA from 1 species